ensembl:lncRNA
CCCGGCCGCCCCCGCCCCCGCCGCUCGGGGUCUCACCUCCACCUUGCGCGCAGCCGCGCGGUCCGAAAAGCAUCCGCCGCCCUCAGGGGCCGCGUCCCGCCUCCUCGCGCCGCGUGGUGCCUCCUUCGGUCACCCGGUGUCCUCACCUCAUAGCUCCAGAGCCUCACCGUCCGCGUCCCAGACGCGUCGCUGCCCACGGUGAGCCACCCGGACACCGCCCGGGUCCGGUGGAAGGACACGAAAAGGAGUCCGUGACCGACGGCGGAGGGACACCACGUCGGCAGCUGGCGUGCGCGCUCCCGUCCGGCGCUGGCCUCCGCGGUGACUUCGACGGGAUUUUGUGAGUGUUUGCCCUGAAGUUGGAAGACUGACUGUAUGGUGCUUCCCAAGAACACUUGCUGCAAGGCUGAAUUUUUGGAGAAAGACUUUGAGGCUGACCAGACAUGCAGGAGGCUGAUUAGAGACUGCUCUUGGGACAGAGGCCCGUGGAAAAGGAUUGAAGUGGGAG